CCUGCUUCUCUCUGAAAUGCAGUUAACACAUCAGCUGGACCUAUUUCCCGAAUGCAGGGUGACCCUCCUGUUAUUUGAAGAUGUAAAACAUGCAGGAGACUUGAGGGAAAAGGCCGUGGAAGGCACCAUCGAUGGCUCAUUGAUAAAUCCAGCAGUGAUUGUUGAUCCAUUUCAGAUACUUGUGGCAGCAAACAAAGCAGUUCAGCUCAUAAACUGGGAAAAAUGAAGACAAGAACUCUAUCUACUGAAAUUAUUUUCAACCUUUCCCAAAUAACAAUAUUUCUGAGGCUUUGAAAAAAUUUGGUAUCUCAGCCAAUGACACCUCAGUUCUAAUUGUUUACAUUGAAGAGGGAGAAAAACAAAUAAAUCAAGAAUACCUAAUAUCUCAAGUGGAAGGUCAUCAGGUUUCUCUGAGAAAUCUCCCUGAAAUAUAACAAAUAUUAUAGAAGUCAA